rnacentral:rRNA from 1 species
GACGUAGGGCGCGAGCGUUGUCCGGAUUUAUUGGGCGUAAAGAGCUCGUAGGCGGCUUGUCGCGUCGACUGUGAAAACCCGCGGCUCAACCCCGGACUUGCAGUGGGUACGGGCAGACUAGAGUGUGGUAGGGGAGACUGGAAUUCCUGGUGUAGCGGUGAAAUGCGCAGAUAUCAGGAGGAACACCGAUGGCGGAAGGCAGGU